rfam:Tupaia chinensis contig41937, whole genome shotgun sequence.
CUGCCUUUGGCGGCACAUCUACUAAAAUUGGAAUGAUAGAGAGGAUUAGCAUGGACCCUGCGCAAGGAUGACACGCAAAUUCCUGAAGCAUUCCAUACUUUU